UACGGGGGGAGCAAGCGUUGUUCGGAUUUACUGGGCGUAAAGGGCGUGUAGGCGGCCACCGCAAGUCGACUGUGAAAUCUCCGGGCUUAACUCGGAAAGGUCAGCCGAUACUGCGGGGCUAGAGUGCAGAAGGGGCAACUGGAAUUCUCGGUGUAGCGGUGAAAUGCGUAGAUAUCUGGAGGAACACCGGUGGCGAAGGCGGCAUCCUGGACCGGCAUUGACGCUGAGGCGCGAAAGCCAGGGGAGCAAACGGG
rnacentral:rRNA from 1 species